rfam:Nicotiana sylvestris Nsyl_contig48890, whole genome shotgun sequence.
UGGACAGAUUAUUGUAUUUGCUUGUAUUCGACUGUAUUCACGGCGUGAAAAUAGGGGAUGACACUGUUUUUAAAAGGGAAAGUGAAUCAAUUAACAUAAUAGACUCCU